rnacentral:lncRNA from 8 species
CUGGGGAGUUACAGAGGAGAGGAGGGGGGAUGAAUGAGCCAAUUGGAAGCUGGGGAUGAUAUGAGGGACAGAUAACUGGUUUAUCCUACAAAUUAAUUCCAAUAGAGAUAGCAUCGCAUCUAGGUCAUUUAAUCAUGGGGGUGCCUUCCCUAUCGAAAAAAAUCCCGGCACGCAUACUGACCUUUAACAUAUAAGUAUCUGUGUAUUUCUGUAUCAGUUUUGUUGAGGACAGCUCAUGGGCUUUGUGUGCGUGUGUUCUGAGUGGGUGUGACCGUGACACAUGAUUACCCCUCCCUCUAGAUGCCUAUUUGCUGCUGCCGGUGUCCAUCAUUAGGUUCAGGCUUCGGCUCUUAUCGAAGAACGUUAUGAAGCAGUCGUCAUCUGUGGCAGUCUCACCGGGCAGGCUCCAUGGCAAAACAAGACUUCUUUAUGUAUUUUUAUUUAUUUUCUGUCGUUUUUCUGCAGCUCUCUUUGUCAUUUGAUCAAGUGCCAGCGGUUGUGGAAAAAAGUUCAGCGGGGCCAACAUCCCAAGAUAUCAGGGUUCAAAACAAUGGGUUGGCUGCCCAGAGCCACAGUGCUGCUUCCGAUGGGGAGAGUUCUUCGCUUAUAGUGGAGGACCCUCUCAGGAGAGUCCUGCAGCCUUAUGAGUGGCAGCUGGACUCCCCACACAGAACCAAACGGAGGCUACUGCAGACAUCCAGCAUUCUUCCUUACUCUCCUCUGAGCGUGGUUUACAACAGCAAAACAUGUAUCCUGUUUAGGGCCAGGAAGCUUGCUAUCAGGUUCAGGAACAGCACCUUAGUGGAUCUUACAGAGAAGGCCUUCGGCCCCGAUGCACCAGUGGACACCAAAGGCUCUAUGUGCAGCAAAGACAAAGCUACGUAUGUCUGCUUAGCGGCUGUAGAUAUUCCUCCUGCACUUCCCGAUACAUUACUCUUCCUCGCUAUCCUCCAAGGAUUAAGUAAUGACAGAGAACACCGGAAGAAUUAUCACUGAAUUAUCAGACUGAAUUAUUGUAAUGUUUGUUUAUGUGUCAAUUAAUCCCAUAAGGAAUGGGUUGCCAACUGGCAAUUUGACACAAAAAUAAAAUGUCAUUAAUUGAUUAAUUCAUUCGAUAGUACUAUUGAACCUUAUUUUUCCACCAGGCUUGUACUACGUUUCGGAGAUGUGGAGGACUUGAGAGGACUUGCAAUUAGGUUUGCCUCUUCAUUCAUUUUUAUAGCCAGUGCUAGGCUAUAAGGACCAUUUUACAAAUAAUAGAUUGGCCAAUGGUUUUCCUGGUCAGGUCACAUGUAGGUAAAUAAAACACUUGGUCUGAAGUAUAUUGUGCGGGUCCAUUUUGGUUGUGAUACUUGAUAUUUAUUUAUUGUACUGUACACUGACUGUAAGUCUCUCUUGAUAAGAGCAUCUGCUAAAUUACUUAAAUGUAAUUGUGUAAUCAAUGUAUGCACUGUUCCAACAGACUACAAAUGUCCAACACAUUCUAUGAGUCGGCAGGGCAGAACUGGUUCACUCUGGACAGCGUACACAUCCACUACAACUGGACCCACGAGGCAACGUUCAACGCCACCGAUGUUUACGCUCCUAGUACCCACUCCUACCACUGUCAGCACGUCAGCAGUCUGCAGAAGUACGACACGCUGCUCGUACCCAGCUCCAUCACAGACAACUCUGCAAACUGGCACAUCACCUUCACAGACUUCCAGGUUGGCAUGCAUUGUUUUUACGGGGAGGCAUCGUUUUAUGGCAGGAGGGCAAGGCACGUUUUAAUAGGGGAGCAUGUUCUGAGAGUUAUUUUGGAACCCGGCAGCUACUCCUGUUGAAUUGUAAUGGAUAACUGGAUAACUUGUAUUGUUUGUUAAAACCUUUUGGUAAAAUAAUAACAAAUGAUCUGUAAAGAGAAUUGCAACUUGAGUGUGGCUUUAUUCAACUCGGCAUAAUACAGGGCAGUUCCUAGUUAUACAUCUAGGGGGCACAAUUUUUUUUUUUUAUACCAUAACAAUACCUUGUUAUUUAUUGUAUUGUUUUUUUAUUGUGUUUGUGUAUGAACCCAGAAAGAUUAAAUGUUUGGUUUCUUAAAGAGUUACAUGAUAAAGGAAAAUCCCCCAGAUGAAAAAAUAAUAUCAUAUCCUUUAUGUGCUGCGCUGAGACAACCAUAAAUUAUCAGCACUGUCAUCAUACUGCAGGCCCGCAACAGGUAACCCUCAUUGACUCUUAGUUCAUGUAAAUCCCAGAACUUUGAUUUCAAAUAUGUAUUUAUUUAAAAUUCUGGCUUCUGAUAAUUUCUGAAAUAAUUCUGUGCUGGACUCUGAUGUGUCUCUAUCUGGUUAUAAUGAUUACAGAUGGGACAGAAUAGGACCAUUCAAAUAUUUUUGUAUCUCUUGCUACAUCUGUCCCUAAGCAUUUUGGUUGUCUUGUUCUUAAUGUGGGCCUUAGUCAUAAUAACCAGCUGACACUAGUAGGAGUGUAUCGCCCCUCUCG